UAAAGAAAGCGUAAUAGCUCACUGGUCGAGUCGGCCUGCGCGGAAGAUGUAACGGGGCUAAACCAUGCACCGAAGCUGCGGCAGCGACACUGUGUGUUGUUGGGUAGGGGAGCGUUCUGUAAGCCUGCGAAGGUGGCCUGUGAGGGUUGCUGGAGGUAUCAGAAGUGCGAAUGCUGACAUAAGUAACGAUAAAGCGGGUGAAAAGCCCGCUCGCCGGAAGACU
rnacentral:rRNA from 1 species